rnacentral:rRNA from 1 species
CAAAGCUCAAAUUUGAAAUCGGCCAACAGGUCGAGUUGUAAUUUGUAGAUUGUAUCUUGAGAGCGGAUUAAAGUCUGUUGGAAUACAGCGCCUUAGAGGGUGACAGCCCCGUAAAAUCUAUUCUCAUUGUAAGAUACUUUCGAAGAGUCGAGUUGUUUGGGAAUGCAGCUCUAAGUGGGAGGUAAAUUCCUUCUAAAGCUAAAUAUUGACGAGAGACCGAUAGCGAACAAGUACUGUGAAGGAAAGAUGAAAAGCACUUUGAAAAGAGAGUGAAAAAGUACGUGAAAUUGUUAAAAGGGAAGGGUAUUGAAUCAGACGUGGUUUUGUUGUUCAGCAUUGUUUCGGCAGUGUGUAUUCAACAAUACUAGGCCAAGGUGGGGUGAUUGGGAGUGAAAAAGAAGUAGGAAUGUAGCUCCUCGGAGUGUUAUAACCUACUUUCAUAACUCCUCAGUCGCCUCAGGACUGCGCUUCGGCAAGGACUUUGGCAUAAUGAUUCUAUACCGCCCGUCUUGAAACACGGACCAAGGAGUCUAACGUCUAUGCGAGUGUUUGGGUGUAAAACCCCUACGCGUAAUGAAAGUGAACGAAGAUAGGAGCAUUUAUGCGCACUAUCGACCGAUCCUGAAGAUUUCAGAUGGAUUUGAGUAAGAGCAUAGCUGUUGGGACCCGAAAGAUGGUGAACUAUUGCU